rnacentral:misc_RNA from 1 species
UGGCUCUCGCAUCGAUGAAGAACGCAGCGAAAUGCGAUAAGUAAUGUGAAUUGCAGAAUUCAGUGAAUCAUCGAAUCUUUGAACGCACCUUGCGCUCCUUGGAUUCUUCUAAGGAGCAUGCCUGUUUGAGUGUCAUUAAAUUCUCAACUUUUCAUGGCCACAAGCUAUGCAAAAGUAUGGAUAUGGAGGUCUUUGCAGGCUUUUUCAGCCGGCUCCUCUGAAAUGCAUUAGUAGCGCCUCUGGUUGCUGUCUUUUGGCAUGGUAAUUAUCAUUGUCACAAGUCAAAACCAAGUAUAGUGGCAAUGCUGCUCCCAAAAAGUGUCUCUUCUCUAGAAGAACAUUCACGUGACAAAUUUGGCCUCAAAUCAGGUAGGACUACCCGCUGA